GAGCUUGGACACAAUAUUUACAUACUUAAUUGGAUUUUACGAAUAAAAGUAGCAGAAUGGUAUCUGGGACUAGUAUAAUGAAAUGAGAUUAUAGCGCAAAUAAGGGAUCUAAAGUAGUGAAACUAACUAAAGAUGAAGAAAUAGAUGAACAUAACCAAAGAUUUCAUUUCAUUUUGUCACAUCGCAUAGUCUGGUUACUAACUGUUUCGCUACAACAAUUUCCAGAAUCAAUUUGAAAUUGGCGACACUGUAACAUUAGCAAACACGUUUACUAAUGAAGUGCAGGCUGAGGAAGCAAUGGAAGUUGAUCAUGGAACCAUACGACAAAAAAUAUUGUCAAAAAAUAAAACUCUUAAGAGAAAACUUUGUGAAAGGAACGGGUAUAAAGCUGUGUGGUGAGUGUCAUAAAAACACUACAAUGCAACAAAACAAUACUUCCUAAAUUAAUUGAAGAGGCAGGAGCAAAAACACAAUGGGAGGAAUUGAAAAAUAAAGUUAAUGAAGAACUUAAAAAGCUGGACAAGGGGGAGAAGGAAAAGAUCAGGGAUAUAAAAGCGGUUUUCCCCAAUGGGUAGGGUAGA